CUUACGGGACGACCUGUAAGCGUAUCGCAUUCGGGGACGGCCCCA
rnacentral:ncRNA from 2 species